rnacentral:rRNA from 1 species
AUGGCAUCUCAUGGAGCUUCGGGCUCCUCGGGGAUCAGCGACGUGGAGAAGAUGAUGGAGGAGUUGGGAUUGCGCGAGGAGGACCUGGAUGACGUCGUUUACGAUGAGAAGGAGGCACCAGAGGAGGGCGCUAGAUGGAUUGCGCUGGCCAAAGUCAACACCACCAAAACCUAUAGCCAGACAUGGUUUUUCAGGAACAUGCGUUCAGCAUGGGACGCAGCCCAGGAGGUGAAGUUCAAACCUUUAGAGGACAAUCUGUAUACUGUCAAGUUCUCGUGCUUAGGAGAUUGGGAGAGGACAAUUGACAUAUGGAUUCAGAUCCAUGAUGUGCCAGAGCUGUACGCCCAUCUUGUUGGUCCAUUGGCUGCAAAAGUGGGCGAGGUCCUAUUCGUGGAAGCUAGCUCGGCCGAUUUUCGAGGGAAUUUUUACAGGGUCUGGAUCAGGCUGAACAUCCUCAAACCAUUGAAGAACGCUGUCUCCAUGAUUCGUGAUGGUAAGAGACAGAUAUAUAAAGUGAAAUAUGAACGACUCCCCGACUGGUGCGCGGUGUGUGGCAUGCUAGGUCAUUUGUUUAAGGAACACGGUACUGGGAUCCAUCCGCCAUCGGCGCUCGUCUUUAAGGACCUCCGUGCAAACUGGUUUAUGCGUGCGGGAAUAGGACCGGGUGAAGGCCGAGCCAGAAGGGGCGGCAGAAGGGGAGGUAGAGGAGGCCGUCCAGGGGGUCGGUAUGCAGAGGAGGAGGAUAUGGGAUCAUAUGGGAAGAGAGAGGGACACAAGGACAAUCUGGAAGAGUUGGCUGUUUCAAGUUGUGACGUUGACAUGGAAGAACAGAGCAGGAAGAGGUUGGAGAGACAAGAACGUGAGAGGGAUUCGGGGACCUCGGAAACUGAGAAGCAGGAAGCCUCAAAAGGCAACCAACUAGCUAUUAUUCCAGCAGGCUGCACAUUGGGAAGUCCACCGCCACAGAGAGAGACAAAGAGGAGCAAGAUGGAAGAGGAAAAUAAGGAUGGAUCUACUUCUGCUGUUUUCUGGCGCCAAUGCGCACGCGAAUAUGGGCCGUCCCAUCAGGCGCGCAAGCGAUCGCUCGCCCAGGGCGCACCUGGAUUGCUCGUUCAACAGUUGAACAGUUGA